AAAGCUCCAAAAUUCUCUGCCUUUGGGCAGUUCUGCCUACCAGUUUCCAGACAAUCAGUUUCUGAAUUUGAUAUAAGCACAUACAUGCUUCCACUGCUUAUCAUUUUCCAUGAAGACUUCACUUGGACUAAAGAUAGAAAAGGACAAUUCAACCCUAAGCUGCGUAAUCAGUUGUUCCCAUUUAGCGUACAUGCCUCCUUUAUCAACAAGUCACAAAAUGUAUACUCCUAGGACAAUCUGUUUCUAUAUUGUUAACUAGUUAGGCUAUUUUAUCUUAUGAGACACACCCUUAAAAAAAAAAACGCACCAUCUGGUUUUCCAACAGGGGCCAAACUUGCACUAGACAGAUUUCAUUCGUGUGUGGCCACCCUGGUAAAAAUCCUUAUAGACUUAGGGAAGACACAAAUGUACUCUGUGGUUCUCAUAAGAAAGUUUCCUGUGGAGACUGUGGACAGCAUCACUACAUCACUUACAGCUGCCAUCUGUCAUAGAAAGCUACAUGGUAACCCAUAGUCCUAUUAGAAAAAGUUAACAUUCUUAAAUGAAUGGUAUGUUCUACCUCACGGUGGUAGGUGACAUAAUGCUAAUUCCUAAAAGGAUUGUGUGUCUUAUUCCCUGACAGUGAAUACUGUUAAAAAAAAAAAAAAAGUUUUUGAUGAAACAUAGGUAAGAAUGGAUUGUAGAAAUUCUACAUAAUGACUCUAUACUGCAGCAUCUUUUCUAAAUGAUUAUUCUGCCCUUACAAAAUAAUAAUUGACUUCCUUUUAAUAAACCUUAAUGUUAUACAACUACAUUUCCAGCAAAAGGAAUGCAGAUAUUUCCUUUAGUUCUGGUUUCACUGCACUAAAAAUCAUAGCAGAUGUUUGCUGAUUCUGUCACUUCAAAUAUAGGCUAAUGACCAAGGAAAUGUCUGGGGGUGGGGGGACAACAAAAAAAAACUUUGUAUUUAAGUUUCAGACAACUACAAGCACCUCAAACAAUGGAUUAUUACAAUGCUUGGUAUUCUGUCACAAUCUAGUUAUUGCAAAGGCAUAUGGAUAAAUUGUAAUGGACGAAGUCAAGAAAAACGAGGCACCUUAAUGAAUGUAAAAUUAAAAAGACCUGACAUUCAUCCCACUGACUUCUAAAAGGCUAAAUAUACCUCUGUAUAUUACAUUCUAAAAUAGUAUUGCCUACUAUGGUUGUGUCCUGGAUUCUACACUUAAUUUUAAGGAAAUGCAUAAACAAAACUGUGAAAUUUGCAAAGGGAAAAUCAUUUUCUCUACUUCAAUUCAUGGAAAGGCAAUGAAAAAGGUAGUAAAAUUUGUUGUAGCAACACAUGCCUAUGGAAUGAAUGUGAUCACUGUUAUCUUCGAGUCAUUCUGCCCACUGCACUGCAAAUUGUUACACCAUACUGUGUGUUUUAGACAAACACUAAUGUUUUUCCCAAAAAAAAAAAAAAAAAAAAAGGUACUUUCAUUCCACACACUGAACAUAUUUUCUGUUGUCCAAUUUAAUCUAUGUAUAGUUUAACUUACAGUGCUUGGAGGAGGCAACACCACAUGGUACCAGGUUAUCACAUUUUUAAAGGGACAUCACUCUUUCUUUAAAAGUACUUUAAAAAAUAUGCAAAAAUACGAAUGGAAGUUUUAACUAUAAUGCAUAUUUUAGAACGAGAAGCAUGUGUUUUCUUCCUUUAAAGUGCCAUACAGGGAAUGAAAUCUUGGAAACCAGAGCCACUUUGUUUAAAAUCCAAUGUAAAAGGACUGUUAUGGAAUGAAAAGUUUGCACAACUCCUUGUCUGCUACAUGCAACUUAGGCUACAGAGCACUAAGACUUGGGAGCUUUUCUGAAAUUUGAGUCCCCAUCCCAUAUUUAAUGAAAUUAACAUUUACAGGGUGCAUUUACAUACACUAUAAUACAGGAAUGAUGUCCCUUUGCCAGAAGAUAAAAUAGUACAUUUCCUUGCUAUUUCUUGGUUCCACCUUGAUAAUUUCUUAAGAUUGUAAAUUAUAUAGUACUCAGCUAAAAUAUUUCUUCAUAAAUAGUUACAAAACCUGCCAAAACACAAAGAGUGAAGAAUUUUUUGUUCAAAAAAAAAAGAAGACAUUUGUAUGUCACACAACACAAGAAACAAUGCUUAGAGACAUGUUAUUGUUUCCAGAAGAAAGUGGAUCAGUAAACUACUUAGCCGAAGACAAAAGACUACCUACCCUUCCCCAGGAUCACAGUGCACAAAAAGCAAAAUGUCAAACAACAGUACCUCAAAGCAAAAUAAAGAUCUGAGGAUGAAGCCAGCUCACUUGUAAUCCUGUUAAAGAAUGAGAGUCACCGUUUAGGUCCAAGUACUGGAAAACAUCUGCUAGCUCAGAAGGCUGUAUUUGUAGAAUCUGCUAAGAAUUCAACCAAGGAUGCCGAAGGCAUUCGCCAGCAGAGGCUCGUUUUUCUGGAACCAUUUCUAACAUGGGGAUCAGAAAAUCUGUAAACUGUGCAGCAUCUUCAUGGGGCCAACCAUACUUUUCCACAAGUACAUCAAAGAGGCUCCAGGGCUUCAGCUUGGUGAUGUGCCGCAGUUCACCUACAGGGGAAAAACACACCGAUGUCAAGAAAGCUCCAAGUAUGCAUUUCCCAUUGUUGGUCCACCAGGAUCUUUUCAAUAACACAGACAAUCUACUUGAUCAAUAAUUAAUACAACCACAAAGGCCAGCUUUCUCUGCUAAGUUAUCAUUGAAUACAUAUAUAAUUGUGUCCUAUUUCAAGUAACAGAACAGAUGUAAAUAGAGAAUAAUUUUAAAAUGGUUCAGGGGCUUGUUAACAUCAGUUUCACAUUUCUUUAAAUAAGGAGGGUGUGCUGAGCACAGCCAGAAUGUUUUCAUUUGCAAAGGCUGAGGGAGCCACUCUCAAACUCCAACUGAGAUUCUUUUGCAACUCGCCAACUAGCUUAGAAGGAAGAUAUACAAUAAACCCCUUGUAUCACUAUUUCUGCCUGUUAACACACAAAGAUAAAUGAGUCUUCUCCUCUAGAACAGCGCAGGUGUGGUAGAACUCCCCUGUGAUGAGAGAGAUGUUCUAGAUCUGUGCUAUCCAAUGUAGUUGUCACUAGCCACAUACGGCUACUGAGCACUUGAAAUGUGGCUAGUGUGACUGGCAUUUUACUUUUACUUAAUUUUAAUUUGUUUAAAUGUAAAUAGUCACAUGUAGCUACUGCAUUGGGCAUUGCAGCUUACCUAAAAGCCAACCCAAAUCAAAUACUGUGUCAGGUCCACACAUUUCUUAUAAAUCUGUAAACCUUGAAGUUAGCACUCUUCAAUGUGCUAGCUACAGUAUAGCAAGUGUGGGUUAGAAGCAUCCUUGACUGACGUAACUAAAUGGCUAACAACCUAGUAACGGGAGUUUCUCAUAACAGAAAACAACAACAACAACCAAACAAAGGUUAUUUUUAAGUCAAACUGCUAAAAGGUUAGAAUAACUUUCACUGAAUUAGGUCAUUUUCUCUGUCACAGGACAUCCCACCCCUGUCCACAGAGAGGACUCCUUUCAUGCCCCUCAGCAGCCCCUGCAGAUGGAGAUGAAGCACUGCACUGCACCCCACACCCAAAAAGCCCUUGAGCCAGAGCAAUCGCAGCCUCCUGCACCCCAAGAGCCUCCCUCUACGUGCCUGCAGGCCACAGACGGCUGAGCCGUUAAGGGCGGAGGCUCUCCACACCUGAGCUGCACUGCAUGCAAGGGGUGACUUCUGUCUCCCCUUUUGUCUGCUAAAAUUUUACCAACAAGCUGUGCAACGACUGCUAGCAUGAAGGGCAAGAGUGGGCUCUCGUCCGAGGAGUGGGGCCUCCAGUCCACGCACCCGCUGCAGCCCCAAGAGGAACACACGGGAAAUACAGUCCAGCACCACCACUUACACGAGUAAGUAAAAUAAGAUGAUAAACCAUUUUCAAAGUACUCCUUUACUAUUUAUUUCUAUUGUAAAGGUUGCUCCCAAACUUAAAGGUUUUUACCUUGACAAUUUUUUCUCUUAGGAAAAAAAAAAAAAAACAAGUAUGUUUCACUGAAGCCUAUUUUGCAGAUAAUUACACUGUCACAGCUUUUACCUUUUUAAACCGUUUCCAACCUGUUUUGAAGAAUGCUGAAUAUCACCUGGCCUUUCCUGCAACUGAAGCUGCCCAUCGCAGGGAGACUCACAGAGCUUCAGCCACGCCAGACCCUCUAGCACUAUGGCCCACCAAAGUUCAUCAUACAAAUACAUUCAUGUCAUGAAUUCACGAAGAUAUAAAAUGGAUCUAGAACAUUUUGGAAAUACUUCCUUCAUCCCCAG